rnacentral:rRNA from 1 species
CAAUAGCGUAUACUAAAGUUGUUGCGAUUAAAAAGCUCGUAGUUGGAUCUCAGGCAUGGGCGCACGGUCCGCCUCGCGGCGGUCACUGUGUGUUUUGUUUCCCAUCCUACGCUUCCCGGUUAUCAGCCCAUGGUGCUCUUCACUGAGCGUUUUGGGUGGCCGGAACGUUUACUUUGAAGAAAUUAGAGUGUUCAAAGCAGGCCCGUCGCCUGAAUAAUGGUGCAUGGAAUAAUGGAAUAGGACCUCGGUUCUAUUUUGCUGGUUUUCGGAACACGAGGUAAUGAUUAAGAGGGACAGACGGGGGCAUCCGUAUUGCGGUGUUAGAGGUGAAAUUCUUGGAUCAUCGCAAGACGAACAACUGCGAAAGCAUUUGCCAAGCAUGUUUUCAUUAG